AGCUCGUGUCGUGAGAUGUUGGGUUAAGUCCCGCAACCGAGCGCAACCCCUGCUGCCAGUUGCCAACGGGUGGAAGCCGGGCACUCUGGCGGGACUGCCAUCGACAAGAUGGAGGAAGGUGGGGAUGACGUCAAGUCAUCAUGGCCCUUAUGUCCGGGGCGACACACGUGCUACAAUGGCCGGCACAGCGGGAAGGCGAGGCAGUGAUGCCAAGCGGAUCCCUUAAAGCCGGUCUCAGUUCGGAUUGCAGUCUGCAACUCGACUUCAUGAAGCUGGAAUCGCUAGUAAUCGUGGAUCAGCCAAGCCGCGGUGAAUACGUUCCCGGGCCUU
rnacentral:rRNA from 1 species